CGUAGGUCACAAGCGUUGUCCGGAAUUACUGGGUGUAAAGGGAGCGCAGGCGGGAAGACAAGUUGGAAGUGAAAUCCAUGGGCUCAACCCAUGAACUGCUUUCAAAACUGUUUUUCUUGAGUAGUGCAGAGGUAGGCGGAAUUCCCGGUGUAGCGGUGGAAUGCGUAGAUAUCGGGAGGAACACCAGUGGCGAAGGCGGCCUACUGGGCACCAACUGACGCUGAGGCUCGAAAGUGUGGGUAGCAAACAGGAUUAGAUACCCUGGUAGUCCACACCGUAAACGAUGAUUACUAGGUGUUGGAGGAUUGACCCCUUCAGUGCCGCAGUUAACACAAUAAGUAAUCCACCUGGGGAGUACGACCGCAAGGUUGAAACUCAAAGGAAUUGACGGGGGCCCGCACAAGCAGUGGAGUAUGUGGUUUAAUUCGACGCAACGCGAAGAACCUUACCAAGUCUUGACAUCCUGCGACGGACAUAGAAAUAUGUCUUUCCUUCGGGACGCAGAGACAGGUGGUGCAUGGUUGUCGUCAGCUCGUGUCGUGAGAUGUUGGGUUAAGUCCCGCAACGAGCGCAACCCUUAUGGUCAGUUACUACGCAAGAGGACUCUGGCCAGACUGCCGUUGACAAAACGGAGGAAGGUGGGGAUGACGUCAAAUCAUCAUGCCCUUUAUGACUUGGGCUACACACGUACUACAAUGGCGUUAAACAAAGAGAAGCAAGACCGCGAGGUGGAGCAAAACUCAGAAACAACGUCCCAGUUCGGACUGCAGGCUGCAACUCGCCUGCACGAAGUCGGAAUUGCUAGUAAUCG
rnacentral:rRNA from 1 species